rnacentral:rRNA from 2 species
GUGGGUAGUUUGACUGGGGCGGUCUCCUCCCAAAGAGUAACGGAGGAGCACGAAGGUUGGCUAAUCCUGGUCGGACAUCAGGAGGUUAGUGCAAUGGCAUAAGCCAGCUUGACUGCGAGCGUGACGGCGCGAGCAGGUGCGAAAGCAGGUCAUAGUGAUCCGGUGGUUCUGAAUGGAAGGGCCAUCGCUCAACGGAUAAAAGGUACUCCGGGGAUAACAGGCUGAUACCGCCCAAGAGUUCAUAUCGACGGCGGUGUUUGGCACCUCGAUGUCGGCUCAUCACAUCCUGGGGCUGAAGUAGGUCCCAAGGGUAUGGCUGUUCGCCAUUUAAAGUGGUACGCGAGCUGGGUUUAGAACGUCGUGAGACAGUUCGGUCCCUAUCUGCCGUGGGCGCUGGAGAAUUGAGGGGGGCUGCUCCUAGUACGAGAGGACCGGAGUGGACGCAUCACUGGUGUUCGGGUUGUCAUGCCAAUGGCACUGCCCGGUAGCUAAAUGCGGAAGAGAUAAGUGCUGAAAGCAUCUAAGCACGAAACUUGCCCCGAGAUGAGUUCUCCCUGAGACCU